AUUACAAAAUUGCCGAAGACAGCAGGUGCCAUUGUGGCGUAAACGCAGAACCUGCCGAGGGAAUUUACAAAACAUGAUAUGUUUAUGUAAAAUGAUGAUUCUCUCUCUGUCUGCAUGGCAGGGGGAUUUUUUUAUGU
rnacentral:sRNA from 1 species